AAUCAAUUAUUGAAAUAUUUACUAUAUUUACAUAUAUUGUUAAUGGUCUUAAGAGUUUAGGAAAAUCUUAUACUAAUAAUGAGCUUAUUUGAAAAAUCAUUAGAUUACUUUAUAAAACUUAGAAGGCCAAAGUAAUAGUCAUUCAAGUAGUCAAGGAUCUCAAUGCCCUAUUCUUGGAUGAACUUCUUAGUUCAUUCAUGACUCAUGAGUUAAUCAUAAGGCAAAAUAAUGAAAAGGAAGUAAGAAAAAAAUAGGCUAUUAGCCUCAAAUCUACUGCAAAAGAUGAGGA
rnacentral:lncRNA from 1 species